UAGGUAGGUGGUCUUAUUUGUCUGGGGUGAAAGCCUUGAGCUUAACUCAAGAAGUGCCUCAGAAACGGUGAGACUGGAGUCCUGGAGAGGGUCGUGGAAUUCCCGGUGUAGCGGUGAAAUGCGUAGAGAUCGGGAGGAACACCAGAGGCGAAAGCGGCGACCUGGACAGGUACUGACACUCAACUACGAAAGCGUGGGGAGCAAACA
rnacentral:rRNA from 1 species